UACAGGUGGGAUUGCGUUUUACAAUAUUGAAUAGGCAUUAAGUGUGAUUAGGUGGCUGAUAAAGCUUGAGUUCUAAGAGGAGAGUUAGAGGAAUAACCAAAGGAAGGAUGAAAUCUAUAGAUAUUGGUUGGAACAUCAAAAGCGACAGCAUCACUCUAUUUUAGAACUGACACUGAAUCACUAAAGUGUGGGUAGCAAAACGG
rnacentral:rRNA from 1 species